UACGAAGGGGGCUAGCGUUGUUCGGAAUUACUGGGCGUAAAGGGUGCGUAGGCGGGUCUUUAAGUCAGGGGUGAAAUCCUGGAGCCCAACUCCAGAACUGCCUUUGAUACUGAGGAUCUUGAGUUCGGGAGAGGUGAGUGGAACUGCGAGUGUAGAGGCGAAAUUCGUAGAUAUUCGCAAGAACACCAGUGGCGAAGGCGGCUCACUGGCCCGAUACUGACGCUGAGGCACGAAAGCGUGGGGAGCAAACAGG
rnacentral:rRNA from 1 species